rnacentral:rRNA from 1 species
GACGAACGCUGGCGGCGUGCUUAACACAUGCAAGUCGAACGGUGAAGCGCUUCUUUUUUUGGUGGGUGUGGUUGCGUGGCGAACGGGUGAGUAACACGUGCGUAACCUGCCCCCUUCUUCUGGAUAACCGCAUGAAAGCGUGGACAAUACGGGAUCUUCUGGGUCUGUCGCAUGAUGGGUCUGGGUCAGAUAUUGUUUCGGUGGGGGAUGCGCUGGCGGCCUGUCAGCUUGUUGGUGCGUUGAUGGCCUAUCACGGCGGUGGCGUGUCGCCGGCCUGCGAGGGUAGACGGUCACACUGGGAGUGAGGCACGACUCGGACUCCUACGGGGGGCAGCAGUGGGCGGUAGUGCGCAGUGGGGACAAGCCUGAUGCAGCGGCGCCGCGUGAGGAGUGAAGGCCUUCGGGUUAUGAACCUCUUUCGCCAGUGAAGCAGUCCUGCCUGGUUUGUAGGGGGAUUGACGGUAGCUGGAUAAGAAGCGCCGGCUAACUACGUG